AGGAAACUCAAAAUGGUACCGACUGUGAGGAUGAAGAAGACACCUUCCACGUUUUUCAAGUCUAGAGGCGUUGCUUGGCCGCCAGCUGCACCACUCUGCGAAUAUAAACAAAAUUAAUAAAGGAGUCUAGCAGCUGAACCCGAUGUGAGAUGGUAGCCAUUUUGGUAUCAAACUUGGUCUAGCCUCUGAACCAGUUGUCGCAGCGUCUUCAUACAUACAACAUAUUGUAGGCGUCUAGUAGCUGAACCCGUUGUCACAGCUUCUUCAUUUUGGCGUCAAAUUGCGUCUAGUAGCUGAACCCGUUGUCACAGCUUCUUCAUUUUGGCGUCAAAUUGCGUCUAGUAGCUGAACCCGUUGUCACAGCUUCUUCAUUUUGGCGUCAAAUUGCGUCUAGCAGCUGAACCCGUUGUCACAGCCUCUUCAUUUUGGUGUCAAAUUGCGUCUAGUAGCUGAACCCGUUGUCACAGCUUCUUCAUUUUGGCGUCAAAUUACGUCUAGCGGUUGAACCUGUUGUCAUAGCGUCUUUAUUUUGGCGCCAAAUUGUAGGCAUCUAGCAACUGAAUAUUGUAAGUACUUAUUCCUGACUGACAAUAAUCUUGUCAGUGUGUUCCUUUUGUUGCAAAUAAUUUAUUAAAUUUAUGUUAAAAUUUACUUAGGUUGCAAAAUAAUUUUUGUGAGUAGUUUACUUGGCAGCCGCGAAACUGAACUUUUUGUUUGUUUACUAUUUGCUUUGUUCAUCUUGCCUCUCAACAGUCUUAACUCUCUUCCCUACUUAGUCGGCCGUGCGUUGUUGCGCGAUGCGCACGUGUUUUAUUCGUCAGUCGACAUUCGUGGCAUUCGGUGCCGACAUUCGGUGCUUGCGUUACAUUCGGGCGAUCGUCGACGGCGUGUGGUAAUUACGGGAUAAUGUGAUAAUUAUUGCGCGUAAAACUCAGGAUUAAGAUUUAGGUGCGCGCGUGGCUUCUGUCGGAUAUCUUCCGGUGAUAUUGAAUUUCCAUUGGAUUUAUUAUGUCAUGAUUUGUUAGACACGUUUCGGCUGUGUAGCAUCUUCAGUCAUUGUAACUAAAUAAAUAAGGUGAAAUAAGGUAAUACGUUGAAAUCAUAAUUUAUUAUAUUUUGAUUUGCAUUUUUAUUGGAAUAAAAUAAUAGUUGACGUAA